rnacentral:tRNA from 1 species
GAGGGUAUAGCUCAGUGGUACAGCGUGCACUUAGCAUGCAUGGGGUCCUAGGUUCAAUCCCCAGUACCUCCA